UACAUUUUGGUGUACGAGGCACAGAAAUUUUUGAUGUUUUAAGAAUAGUUUAAUUCUAUUAAAUGUAA
rnacentral:tRNA from 1 species